rnacentral:piRNA from 1 species
UACACAAAGAAAUUCAGUGAUCAUCGGGGA